CCCAUUGGGACUUCCCCAGCAGCAGUUUUACAAGGGUGUCCUUGGUACCUCUGUCUCGGUAGAUCUCUGACUUACUGUCUCAAUUGAGAAUGCUCAACUUGCCUUAAGGUAAAACAUUCUUAGUUAUGGCUUUGAAGGUUGGAAUUCUGCAAUAAAUAGGUCCUGAGCUGCCUUCUGCAGCCCCUGAAGAAAUCCUUUUCCAUGGAUCUGAAUUUUUUUCAAGAGAUUGAUCUUAUCUGGGUGGAGAAGAGCUCGGGAAAGAGAGACACAUAUAUCAGUGAUAUGCCCAAUGACUUUUGAAGACAACCAUGGAUGCCUAGAAACUUGGGCUGCUAUGAACAUUAAGGGAAUUAAAGUGCUGGACUCCUGAGCCCUCUCCUUGAAAUGCUGAGGAAGAUUUGCUGACACACCUUCCCUGGAGGCCAUCAACACUCAUCCCUGUGACUUUCACUUCAAAGUAACUGGAGACUCUUCUUAUUAUUGAGGGCUUCAUUUAUCUGUGGUCUGUGUCUGACUACUCAUAGGAACUGAUGAUGGGAAACUGCCCUCUGUUUAUUUUAUAACCUAGUAGAGGAGAUAAGACAGCCCUUUUCUUCUUACAUAAAUAUUUAUACUUGUUUUUAUAUCAUAUUUAUUUGUAAAUAUAUCCUUAUUGUCUCUGCCAUCCAGUGAGCCUUCCCUUGUAACAUAGAUUUUAAAAAGAAAGAAAAAGCGGUUCAGCAAAACGAGCCAUCAGGGCAGCUCAGUGGCACAGUGAAUAAAGCGCCAGGCCUGGAGUCA
rnacentral:lncRNA from 1 species